rnacentral:rRNA from 1 species
UAUAGAUUAAUCUAUAAGAGGUAGGGGAGCAUUCUAAUCUGCGCAGAAGGUGUACUGUAAGGUAUGCUGGAGCGAUUAGAAAAGAAAAUGUAGGCAUAAGUAACGAUAAUGCGGGCGAGAAACCCGCACACCGAAAGACCAAGGAUUCCUCAGCUAUGCUAAUCAGCUGAGGGUUAGUCGGGGCCUAAGGCGAACCCGAAAGGGGUAGUCGAUGGACAAGCAGUUAAUAUUCUGCUACUUGCUUUAAAUUAAAAGAGACGGAGAAGGAAAUCUAGUGCGUACUGACGGAAUAGUACGUUGAACCAUCUGUAAGGAUGGGAUAGUACACCAAAGCUACGGUGGCGGUGAUAAUCUAGAGGCCGUUCUUCCAAGAAAAUCAAUUAAAGCAACCCGUACCGUAAACCGACACAGGUAGUUGGGAUGAGAAAUCUAAGGUGCUCGAGAGAUUCAUGGCUAAGGAACUAGGCAAAAUGGGCCCGUAACUUCGGGAGAAGGGUCGCCCCCAACUUCGGUUGGGGGCCGCAGUGAAGAGGUCCAGGCGACUGUUUAUCAAAAACACAGGGCUCUGCUAAAUCGAGAGAUGCAGUAUAGGGCCUGACACCUGCCCGGUGCUGGAAGGUUAAGAGGAGAUGUUAGCUUCGGCAAAGCAUUGAAUUGAAGCCCCAGUAAACGGCGGCCGUAACUAUAACGGUCCUAAGGUAGCGAAAUUCCUUGUCGGGUAAGUUCCGACCUGCACGAAUGGUGCAACGAUCUGGACACUGUCUCAGCCAUGACCUCGGUGAAAUUGUAGUAUCGGUGAAGAUGCCGAUUACCCGCUGUGGGACGAAAAGACCCCGUGAACCUUUACUAUAGCUUAGUAUUGACUUUGGAUAAGUGAUGUGUAGGAUAGGUGGGAGACAUUGAAGCGGCCUCGCUAGGGGCAGUGGAGUCAUUGUUGAAAUACCACCCUUUACUUGUUUGAAGCCUAACCCCCAAUGGGGGGACAUUACUUGGUGGGUAGUUUGACUGGGGUGGUCGCCUCCAAAAGAGUAACGGAGGCUUCUAAAGGUUCCCUCAGCACGCUUGGUAACCGUGCGUAGAGUGCAAUGGCAUAAGGGAGCUUGACUGAGAGACCUACAAGUCGAUCAGGUACGAAAGUAGAGCAUAGUGAUCCGGUGGUUCCGCAUGGAAGGGCCAUCGCUCAAAGGAUAAAAGGUACUCCGGGGAUAACAGGCUGAUCUCCCCCAAGAGCUCACAUCGACGGGGGGGUUUGGCACCUCGAUGUCGGCUCGUCACAUCCUGGGGCUGGAGAAGGUCCCAAGGGUUGGGCUGUUCGCCCAUUAAAGUGGCACGCGAGCUGGGUUCAGAACGUCGUGAGACAGUUCGGUCUCUAUCUACAGUGGGCGUUAGAAAUUUGAGUGGAUCUGACUCUAGUACGAGAGGACCGAGUUGGACAAACCUCUGGUGUAUCUGUUGUUCCGCCAGGAGCAUAGCAGAGUAGCUACGUUUGGAAGGGAUAAGCGCUGAAAGCAUAUAAGCGCGAAACCCACCACAAGAUGAGAUUUCUUUAAAGGAUCCCCAAAGACGAUGGGGUUGAUAGGUCACAGGUGUAAAGGCAGUAAUGUCAUAGCCAAGUGAUACUAAUUAUCCGAAGAGCUUAUCUAU